UACGAAGGGUGCAAACGUUGCUCGGAAUUAUUGGGCGUAAAGCGCACGUAGGCGGCUUUGUGUGUCGGAUGUGAAAUCCCUCGGCUCAACCAAGGAAGUGCAUUCGAAACUGCAAAGCUUGAGUACUUAAGAGGAUCGCGGAAUUCCCGGUGUAGAGGUGAAAUUCGUAGAUAUCGGGAGGAACACCAGUGGCGAAGGCGGCGACCUGGACGGAUACUGACGCCUGAGGUGCGAAAAGCGUGGGGAGCAAACAGG
rnacentral:rRNA from 1 species